CUCCGACUCGGAAAGCAGACAGGUAGACAGCCCAGCAUUGAACACCACAAGGUUGGAUAACAAGGAUUGGUCGUUAGGAAGGAAGGUCAAGAAACUGUCAGUCACGGCUGUCAAGGAAGACUGUGUAGGAGUUUUCAAACUAGUGAGCAAGCCUGUGACAACGGUGGCAAGGAAAAACUCCCUCAGACUACAUGAGGAAGAAACAUCAAGAGGAGCCAGA